UCGGACAUGGUGUAAAGAGAACACAUCCUCUUACUCUGGGGCAACAGAGAAAUUGAGAGGUAGUCCAGAGUUCGAAUCCCUGUGUCUGAA